GAGGCCAAUAGCGGAUAUAACUCUCAGGCUGGAGUGCCGAGAGUUAGAAACGUUCCGGCGCUGUAGGAUGUGGCUGCGGCCGAUUAGGUAGAUGGUGGGGUAACGGCCCACCAUGCCGAUAAUCGGUACAGGUUGUGAGAGCAAGAGCCUGGAGACGGUAUCUGAGACAAGAUACCGGGCCCUACGGGGCGCAGCAGGCGCGAAACCUUUACACUGCACGACAGUGCGAUAGGGGGACUCCGAGUGUGAGGGCAUAUAGCCCUCGCUUUUCUGAACCGUAAGGUGGUUCAGGAACAAGG
rnacentral:rRNA from 1 species